rnacentral:rRNA from 1 species
ACUUAAAAAAUAAGACAGUAUUAUAAUAAAAAAUCUAUGUAUCUUGGCGGUCUCACAAUAUUAGAGAAACUCGCUUUUUAAUCGAAAAUACCCGUUGAAUUUAACUCAAAUUAAUAACUUAUAUACCGCCGUAUAAAUUAUACUUAAUAAAUCACUAUUAUAAUAUUUAUCUAUAAUAAUUCAGGUCAAGGUGUAGUCUACAUAUGAGGAAAAGUAAGUUACAUUAAAAAUGAUUUAAGAAAGAAGAAUAAAAAUUUAACAGAAAAAGAAUUUAUAUGUACACAUUAAUUAAAAAUUAAUAUAGAAAAACUAUAGUAAGACGC